CGCCACAGCCGUGUCACCCUGCAGCCCAAGACCGGUUACUUACUGAAGCUACGCAGGGCUGAGCCUGGUCAGUACCUGGAUGGGAGACCACUAGGGAACACUAGGUUGCUGUUGGAA
rnacentral:rRNA from 1 species